AGGUAUGAAGACUCCCCAGCUCUGUAAGAAUACUUUGCUAUUCUGAUGUGCCCAAGGCCUUAAAAGUGACAUAAGGUUUCUGACCUCCUCUGCAGGGUUCAGGGAAUCUCACCAGGAUUUAGUUACCAUACUUCAUCCAAAUAUUCUACUGAAUACAUCUUAUUAAUUAUUAAUUAUAAUCCAUUAUAGUUAAUUAUAAUUUCUUGCAUUUCAUGCCAUGUAUAGCACUUUCUAUGAUGCUUCUCAUUUAAAAAAAUCACAAACUCUGCCAGAUUAUUUUCAGAUCUUUGUGGUUAUCUUUCCUUAGAAACAGGGAGCUGAGACGUACAUGGAUUUAGGCCUACAUUUUCAUUGACUUUGGGUGGCUGAUCAGUCAUACCUAAACCUAAUUUCAAAAUAUUUAACAAUUUGUUUCUCAGCAUGGGUUGUACAGCACUGGUUGAUUCCUGUUGUCCAUCAAAGGAGCAUCUCAGUGUGAGCCCUCCCACUCACACUGUGUGCCAUGUAACACCCCCCCACUAACUGAACAGAGCGGAGGGAGUAGUGUCACAUUGUCACCAUUUAGCUAUUAAGCAAAUUUUACUCAGAGUAUCAGCCUGGGCAACUAGGAGUGCUGAGCUCACAGCUCUCUGAUAACACUGGCCCUUUGUGGAUACCUACUCUAAAUACUGAAUGUACUAAUCUGGGCUCUUUAGUUUAGAUACUAUUUGGUUUACAUACAUUCCUCUAACAGAAGACUUUCGCAUUAACUUGUUGCGUACAAAAGUAAGUCAGUGCUUCUCAGCCCCCUUGCUACCUCCAUUAGCUCUCCAUUACUGGAGAUUUUGGUAUAGGAACAGUUUAUUAGAGUGUUGAUUGGGAAGAAUGGAUUUUUCUGAUAACCUAGGUAAGCCUCAGACCAAGUCCCUUGGUUGCAGACUCCCCAGGUGCUACCACAGUCUUGGUUCUAAUUAACUUGAGCUGCGAACACAUGUUGUUCAGAUCUGGGUUUGGCUGGUUCUUAGCUUCUGAGAGAGUUUCCUCCUAUUCAACACAGUCCUAUCCUCCACCUUGGCCAGUUUCUCCAAGCAAAACUAUCUCCACCCUCAGCUGUUGCUUUUCCUGUGCAAUCUAGCUCCUGUUCUGAGCUUCCCUUCUAACUGCACGAACUGCUUACCCUUUUUUGUUACCUUCUUUCCUUGUCCCAGUGCAAGCGGCACACAAACAUUCAUUUCCAAUUUUUUUUUUACUGUAGCCUUGCUGUGGAAUCAGGACUGAUUGAUAAGCAAAGAUUAAAAACCUGUUUGACUACAUCACUGGGUUAUUCUGCAGGUUGCCUGGAGCUGUGAGGCACUGUGCGUACUAGGGAAAAUUUCCCAGCUCUAUACCUGGGCAUCCUAGUACCCAACUGCCCUUGCAGCUUAACAGGAUAACAUUGACAACAAGGUUAUAAAUGAAGGGGGCGGGGAAUGACAAAAACAGUUAUGUGCAGUUCCAAACUAUUUAGCAACAGAUUUUUUUCUUAGAUUUCUGCUCUGGCUAGCCUUUUCAGACAUGUAUCAAAAAUGCAGCAAGCAGAAAUGUGCAAGUGGGCCUUCUUCCAGCUCCCCUGUCUUGGGGGCUUAGCAGUACUGUAUUUAAACUUCCGUUAUGUUCUUCAGUUAGUACAGUCCUCCUAGGUUAAGCAACUUAUUAUCCAACAGUGUUUCACAACUUAUAUAACAUUAGACACAUUUACUUUAUCUAUCUGCCACGUUUCAAUUUUUUGCAGAAACCAUGAAUGGUCUAAUAGUAGCCUAGAUGACGGCUAUGGUAUCAGUGUGUUUUCUAGAAUUUUUUUUUCCUCCCUUUAACAGUUGUGGGGGGCUCCUGGUAUCAUAUAGUCAUUUUAAAAAAAAAAAGGUAAUAGAGCAGGGAAAAAUUUGGAGUUUCAGCCUUUUUCAUGUAAGCACUUGUAAGUUUAACAAUUUCUGUAGGAAAAGCUUAAGAUAUAUUACAUGUUUGUGUUCUGUGUUAUAUAUGUCCCCAGGCCAAUGACAAGUAAUUGAGAACUGGAAGAUGGGCAUACAAGAGAACAAAAAGGUAGAAAAAAGGAAAUGGACUCCAGCGGAGUGAUUCUUACAGUAUAUAACUGGGGUUGGGCCUCUGCUUGUUGACUUAUAGACCAUCUUAGCAAAAGUUGUUACCCUCAAGUAGAUGCCUUGAAAGUAAUACAAAUCAUGCAUCUCUUAUAGUACUUUGUAUCUCUUUGUAUUUAUCAAUUUGCACUCAGACCUUUCCAUCUGUCCCUCUGUCUAGCAAUAUUAGGGUUUUAUUAGUGCUUGACUUCCCUUCCUCUGUCAAAGCACUUCUGUAAGUGAACAUUCACGUGAGCCACCUCUCAUCUCAAAUAUCACAGCAAAAGCUAGUGGGGCAAAUGUCAUUGUGUGUCAUACUGUUGUGUGGUGUUUGCUGAAGAGAAGCACCAAUAUAUGCAAAUCUGGAUUGUGGAUUGUGCUCUUUAGUGUUCUUACGAUACUGCUCCUUCCACACCUAGUUGAAUGCCCUUCCCUUGUACUUGUGGAGGUAUCAUGGACUCUCUUUUUCCUUCCUUCAACUUUGGAAAGUUGCAUUUUCUGGGAUUUUUUUUUUCUUGGUUCGGUUAGUUUUCUUCUAAAAAGACUGAAAGUUGAAUUGGCUUAGCACAAGGCCUGAUGGAAUGCCAGAGAGCAGCAGAGGGAAGGAUAAAAUGGGACUUCCCCCUUCUGCUGAUCUUAGUAAGUCAUAUUGUGUAAAUUCACCCAAAAAUUAAGUAACUCUGUGCUUGUGCUGCCAGCAUCCCAUCUCCCUCCUGGUGGUCAAUUCUUACUCUCUCCUCUGCUAAUAUUGAUGUAUCUGAUUCUGCUAGUUCAGGUAGCUUAACUAGUAGAAAACUAUUCACCAUUUUUUACAGCAAGUUUCUCACCAGGAAGGGAACGCAGCAGCGGCAGUGUUAAUUAGAUCAAUGUGGGAGCAGAGUCUGGGAGCCCUCAGGCACUUUGGUGAGGAACAGAGUGGGGUGGGAGUGUCACAGGGACACAUGGACAGAUGGACACAGCUGCUUCAAAGGGGGAUGUUUAGAGACAGGAGUACCAUGGCCGCCAUGGGAGCAAGGCUGAAAAAUAAGCUUUAAAUAUAAACUUCUAAUUGAAAUCAAAGGCAACAACAGCUAUUGGCUUACGGCUGCUGCAGCGGCUCCCUAAGACAGGGCUGUAUCCUCAUUACCAUUCCAUGCAACUUCAGUGAGAAGCACGGCGGACACCCUCUGGUGGCUGUAACCGCAACAGAAAUUAUUUUCCAUCAAUGUAAAGUGGGAGACGGUUUUGUUUGGUAUGUAUUUCUUGCCCUCUAGUCUUGACUAGAGUCAAAAAUACUUGCUGUGCUCAUGGUUAUUUGCAGUGUAAGGUUUAAAUAUCUCCAAUCAUUAAACUUCAUGACUUCA